GAUGAACGCUGGCGGCGUGCCUAAUACAUGCAAGUCGAGCGAACAGAUGAGGAGCUUGCUCCUCUGACGUUAGCGGCGGACGGGUGAGUAACACGUGGAUAACCUACCUAUAAGACUGGGAUAACUUCGGGAAACCGGAGCUAAUACCGGAUAAUAUAUUGAACCGCAUGGUUCAAUAGUGAAAGACGGUUUUGCUGUCACUUAUAGAUGGAUCCGCGCCGCAUUAGCUAGUUGGUAAGGUAACGGCUUACCAAGGCAACGAUGCGUAGCCGACCUGAGAGGGUGAUCGGCCACACUGGAACUGAGACACGGUCCAGACUCCUACGGGAGGCAGCAGUAUGGAAUCUUCCGCAAUGGGCGAAAGCCUGACGGAGAAACGCCGCGUGAGUGAUGAAGGUCUUCGGAUCGUAAAACUCUGUUAUUAGGGAAGAACAAAUGCGUAAGUAACUAUGCACGUCUUGACGGUACCUAAUCAGAAAGCCACGGCUAACUACGUG
rnacentral:rRNA from 1 species